rfam:Camelus ferus unplaced genomic scaffold scaffold383, whole genome shotgun sequence.
GAGGAUAUAGCUCAGUGGUAGACUGCCUGCUUAGCAUGCAGGAGGUUUUAGGUUCAAUCCCCAGUACCUCCA